AUACGGAGGAUCCGAGCGUUAUCCGGAUUUAUUGGGUUUAAAGGGAGCGUAGGCGGACGCUUAAGUCAGUUGUGAAAGUUUGCGGCUCAACCGUAAAAUUGCAGUUGAUACUGGUUUCCUUGAGUACGGUACAGGUGGGCGGAAUUCGUGGUGUAGAGGUGAAAUGCUUAGAUAUCACUCAGAACACCGAUUGCGAAGGCAUCUGACGAAUCCGUCACUGACGCUGAGGCACGAAAGCGUGGGGAUAGAACAGGAUUAGAUACCCUGGUAUUCCACGCCGUAAACGAUGAUGACUAACCGUCGGCGAUAGACAGCCGGUGGCCAAGCGAAAGCGAUAAGUCAUCCACCUGGGGAGUACGUCGGCAACGAUGAAACUUAAAGGAAUUGACGGGG
rnacentral:rRNA from 1 species